ensembl:lncRNA
AUGUUACUCUUUUGUAUUAUAUUUAUUCAUUUUCUUAUUGUGCGAUUCUCUUUCGCUCAGACACCUCCUUUGAUUUGGAUUCCAUUUUAUGGCCAAGAGGAGACGACGCCUUGUCUUGGAAGCAUAAAUCAGUUUCAGUAUGUGAGCUCCCAAUGUGAUAAGACAUAUGGAAGAGGAGAAGGUGUGUUUGCUGGAGCAGAUGUCUCCUUCGGUUUUGGUGAUUGGUUUGCAAAAUAUUAUUUGGGGAAGAGCCAUCACGCAGCCUCAGAUCUUCUGCUUUGCAUGAAGUUUAAUCCCUGGCAACUCCAUGCAGAACUUGGAAAGACACCUGCUUGAAAACUCCAGACCUCUGCUUGAAAAUUACAAUGACAGUAUGGCUCUAGAUGGACCAUUGGUUUGACUCAGUAUAAGGCAGCUUCCAUAAAGACCAUCAAGAAGGCUGAUCGCCAAAGAAUUGAUGCUUUUGAAUUAUGGUGCUGGAGGAGACUCUUGAGAGUCCCAUGGACUGCAAGAAGAUCAAACCUCUCCAUUCUUAAGGAAAUCAGCCGUGAGUGAUCACUGGAAGGACACAUCCUGAAGCUGAGGCUCCAAUACUUUGGCCACCUCAUGAGAAGAGAAGACUCCCUGGAAAAGACCCUGAUGUUGGGAAAGAUGGAGGGCACAAGAAGAAGGGGACGACAGAGGACGAGAUGGUUGGACAGUGUUCUCGAUGCUACCAGCAUGAGUUUGACCAAACUGCGGGAGGCAGUGGAAGACAGGAGUGCCUGGUGUGCUCUGGUCCAUGGGGUCACGAAGAGUCGGACAAGACGAAACGACUAAACAACAACAACAAGGCAGCUUCCCAUGUUCCUUUAUUUGCCCCUAAACCGUAAGGAUAAAUUCCUUGCUGAAUCUCCCUCAAAUACAUUUAAUCGCAGGUAAUGAUGGUGUGUUGGGUGUGAAACUGUUAGUAUGGCAGUUUAAUUAAUUUUUUUCCCACCUCCCAGUUUAACAGGAUUUGACACGUAAACAUGAGUACUUUUCGGCCCAGAGAUGAAAAAGUAAUGUGUCAAAGUUUCAAUUAACAUUUGGGGAUCUCCAGAGGUUUGCCACCUAACUAAGGGAGGAGGUGUGUGGAAUCACUUGAAUUACGAUAAAAGUUCCAUUUGAUCUUUGACAACUUUUUUUAAAAAAGAAAGCAGCACCUAAUUUCACUCUUCAUAUUUAUUCUCUAGCAAAGUCUGAAAUGAUUUGCUGUCAUGGGUGGAAUGUAUUAAAGAUGCCGUGCUGCGAUCUGCUGUUUGUUUGUAUGUCUCCAAAGGAGGCCCCAGCCUGUCAGAGUCUUUUUAAUGGAAAACUUUCUCUCUUGUCAUCUGGCAAAAAUAAUAAUGGGGUGAGAAUUUAUUUCCCCUUCUCCCAAAAAAUAUCUGCCAUCAGCUUUCAGCUGCUUGUGAUUCCCCCCGCCCCAGUGGGAAAUUAUUUUUCCUGGGCCAUAUUAUUAAAAUGGUAGGUGCUGGGAGAGAGAGAGAGAGAGAGAGAGAGAGAGAGAGAGAAACCUUAGGUUUUUUUGCUUUUGUCUUAAAGUGUCCAAAUAAAAUUUUCAGCAUAUGGCAUGGCUCAUGUUGGAUGUCUGAGAGAGAAAACAAUAAAUCAAGAUAUGCAGUCCUAUGCAGGGCUACUUGCCCCUGAGACUUGGUUAGGUAGUCGCCUCAGGCGGCAGGUUGGAUUAGCUGGAAGCGUGCUGCUUACUGCCUCCUGUGCAUUUUGCCCUCCUUCUCCCCACUGCCUCUCUCCAUGGUCCACCCCCCCCCAGCAUUCUGGGGCUUCCCUUGGCUGCCUCGAUUUUCUGUUUUGCCUUCAGUAGCAAAAUAUCCUUGAGCAGCCUUGAUUCUGUGCACACUUAGUAAGUACCAGGGCCACUGAAAUCAGUGGAACCAGUAGCAGACAAUGUGUGUGGAGGGGGAGGCUGCUGCCAUUCACCUGACCUCCGUUUGGUUGCAUUGCUGCAGGGUAGAGCGGAAGAUGUGGAAGAAGCAAGGUCAGUGUGGUGCAAACACACUGGCAGAGGAGAGGUACUGCAAUCGCGAGCCGUUUAUAGGUCAACACCAGCACCUUGAAUUGGGCCUGGAAACUAAAUGGCAUCCAGUGCAGUUGAACCAGGAUUGGUGUUAUAUGCUGAAACCGUCUUUCACCAUUGAGCAACCUGGCUGCUGAAUUCUGUACCAGCUGGUUUCUGAACUGUCUUCAGAGGCAGCCUCACAUAUAAUGCAUUGUAGUAAUCUAACCUAAAGUUGAUCAGAGCCUAGACAAGGAGGUUUGGCUAUCCCUGUCCAGAUAGGGGUGCAGCUGGGCCACCAGGCAAAGCUGAUGGAAGGCAUGCCACGCCACUGAGUCCAAGAGACAGUAAUGGAACCGGAAGCAACCCAAGCUAUGUAGCUGCUCUUUCAGAUCAAGUGUAAGCCCAUCAAGGGCAGGUAACCUCUCAUCAAUCCGAUCUAGAAAACUGCCCAUGAACAGUGCCUCAGACUGGAUCUCAACACACGAAAGAAGCAUUUCAGGAAAACGUGUUGCAAUCUUUGUAUGAGAAAUUGUGUGGGCAAAAACGGAACUCCACAGCGCCAUCUGGAGUCACGGUGCUAUAAUGCAUACACAAUGCAUAUAAAACGCUUUUUCUUUACCAGUGUAGCCGAGUCCUCAGUCUUAUCUGAAUUGAGCUUCAGUUUCAAUGUAUGUACUUGAUGGUCUGGUCUGUGUAAUAGUCUAAAGUGUGUGUGUGUGUGUGUGUGUGUGUGUGUGAGAGAGAGAGAGAGAGAGAGAGAGAGAGAGGCUAGUGGUCUGCUAUUCCUGUGGCUGAUCACAAAGCUGAAUUAGUUGCUUCCAAAUAAAGUAAUAUUUUGGUUGCUUACAAAUAAACUAAUUUUAUUAUUUGAGUUGGGGCUGAAAGCAACUGAUCAGUAAAAAUAAUGGAUGAGAGUCAAAUCUUAAAAUGCAAUGUGAUGUUAAACUGUUAAUCAAAAUUGCCUCCUACCAAAAAAUAAAGUAUUCAGUAUGGGCUGAAUUGUUGCAUAAAUAUAGUGAAGAUGCCACACAGUAAUACUAGCAGUAGCAGCAACAGCAGCAGCAGCAGUAAUGGUACCAACAACUCCCUCUAACAGCUGUGUUCAGAAGUGAUUGUGUAGGGGAAAAGCAGCACUCAGCCAUCAAAGGAAGGAGUCGGAAUGCUUGGGGAAUCCCAAGAUUUUCAGAAGGCUAAAAAUAUUUAGAAAAAAUAAUCACUAAGAAGACCAAAAAAAAAAAGAAAGAGAGGAAAUGAAACAAAAUCUGAACAGCCCAUGAUGUCUGACGAUGCUAACUGCCACAGCUGUUUGUCUCUUGUGUAAAUGUGGGUAGAGAGUAAAGAAAUAAUGGAGUAUUUUGGAAGAGGGUGCAGCUGAAUGGCUGGUUAACUGGGACCCAGAACAGAAGCAUUUGGUGCUGCAGCACUUUGUGUUACAUCCUCAGCAUCAGUACAUUCUGAGUGUUAGAGGCAUUUCAUGUAUAUUUUAAUAUAUUAUUUUAAUUCAUGCUUGAGCAGUGCUAUAAUAAGUGAAUAAUUCCUCAUGUAAAUCCAUAACUGAAUAAAGAACUAGUUGUGCAAAUAGUUCCUACACAUAAAGUUUUAUUUACCUGUAAGUGGUUUACCAGAAAUAUUAAAAUCAUCCAUAAAAAAAUAAAUUAAAAAGGGAGAUCCAGAAUGUAGGUGCUGCCACACUAAAAGAUUGAUUUCUUCUAACAAGUAUUAUGGGGCAACUACAACAGUACCAGUUCUGCAGAUCAAAGUUAGGGGGUCAGGUGAUCCCGCAAGAAAAGUAGUCCCAUGACACGAAGGGCUUUACAUAUCAGCAGUAACAUAUUGAACUUUCUAGCAAAGAGCUCAAGGUGACAUGCAUCAUUCUCCCCUUUCUCUUUUUAUCCUCACAACAACCCUGUGAGGUAGGUUACACUAAGGCAGGGGUCAGCAAACUUUUUGUUAAGUUGUGGGUGAACAUAUCAGACGUCACAGCGAUUCUUCAAACAGCACUUGUUUAUUCACAG